GUCACUGAUAUCUUCAAGGGGGUUAAAAAAAAAAAAAAGGUAAAGGAGACUGAUGGUCUGUCAAGGUGUGUGUGUGUGUGUGUGUGUGUGUGUGUGUGUGUGAGAGAGAGAGAGAGAGAGAGAGAGAGAGAGAGACAGAGAGUCAUUCUUGCAGCACAGUGGUAAAGUGCAGGGACUCACCCAGGCUUGGCCAGAGACUUUCCAACACAUUCUUCAGCAUCAGCAGGCCUGGAUCUUACAGACAAUUAGAGUUGUCCUGUCACUCAAAAUUUUUAAUUAUUUCAAUAAUAAAUUUGCUCUUAGUUUGAAUUAAUCUAUCAACUGAUACCAUCCCUAUGAUAUAAGCCUGAAGUAUUAUUAUCAUUACAGAGAAGGGUCAUAUAGAUAAAUUUAGACACCUUAGGUCAGAUCCUGAGAUGUCAAAAUAGAAAGCAUAUCUGGGCCACUAUCUCUGUGUUGGUGAUUUAAACCAUUACAGUCUGUUUUCUUCUAUAUUUAUUAUGAUGAUGAGCUUGCUUUUUGAAAUUGGUUCGUUCAGACUUAAGUAAUAUAGGAACAAAAAACACAAGUGAAGUGGGAAGACAGUUUUAAAAAAACUUACAUAUGGACCGUUUUAAAAUUAGGUCGUACUUUUUUUUUAACAUGUGGUGUUUUCAUUUCUUUAAUUUACAUUUCCUCAUUUUAACAAAACAGUGCAAAGUUGAACAUGUACUUCAGAACAUUAGUUAGUAGUACUGGGGUCUAAUGAUGAGUAAGUGGACAGAAAGGGGUUAACAUCAUAGGCUGGAAAGGCCUGUUUAUAAAGGUGGCCCUCCGUUGGCAUUGGGGAACUUGGAUUGGGAAGGAUUUCCACCAUUCCCAGAACUGAUCAGCAUGGCCUACUGUGCUUAAAUAAUUUGCAUGAAAGAUGUGGUUUAUGAUGAACACCUGCUUUCAUUCUGGGACUCUGGAAUUUUGAAGCAUGUCAGGCAGAGAGUGCU
rnacentral:lncRNA from 1 species